rnacentral:rRNA from 1 species
AUGCCGCGUGUGUGAAGAAGGCCUUCGGGUUGUAAAGCACUUUCAGUGGUGAGGAAAGGUAUUCGGCUAAUACCCGGAUACUGUGACGUUAGCCACAGAAGAAGCACCGGCUAACUCCGCGCCAGCAGCCGCGGUAAUACGGAGGGUGCGAGCGUUAAUCGGAAUAACUGGGCGUAAAGCGCGCGUAGGUGGUUGAGUCAGUCAGAUGUGAAAGCCCCGGGCUUAACCUGGGACCUGCACCUGAUACUGCUUGACCAGGGUACGGUAGAGGGCAGUGGAAUUUCCUGUGUAGCGGUGAAAUGCGUAGAUAUAGGAAGGAACACCAGUGGCGAAGGCGACUGCCUGGACCGAUACUGACACUGAGGUGCGAAAGCGUGGGUAGCAAACAGGAUUAGAUACCCUGGUAGUCCACGCCGUAAACGAUGUCGACUAGCCGUUGGGAGACUUGAUCUUUUAGUGGCGCAGUUAACGCGAUAAGUCGACCGCCUGGGGAGUACGGCCGCAAGGUUA